rnacentral:lncRNA from 1 species
CGUUGCUUGGCUGGACCAGCCGGCGAGCCAGGCUCCCGGGCGCCACCUGGUGGCCUUUCUGGUGGCGAGGGGUGCCCGAGGUGCUCACCUCCAGAAUCCAGCCACCACUUUUUGAGGAAGCCCAGGCCACAUGGAGAGGCCACAUGUAGGAGUUCCAGCCCACAGCACCAGCUAAGAUUUCAGCUGCUCCAGCCAGUGUUGACUGCCAGACAAGUGAGUGAAGAAGAUGAUUCCAGCCUUCAGAAUUCCAACUGAGGACCCAGACAUUAAGAAGCAGAGAUAAUGAGGAAUUAGCUAACCCCAGGAGGGGCCAUCCUUCCAGGGUCAGCAAACCCCCAGGUGUGAAAGCAUCACAAUGCAGAAACGAAAAGACACGGUUGAUACACUGUGCGAGAGCUUUUCAUCCUCCUUUCAUCACAAGCAUAUGCUGGACCAGAAGGAUGAGCAGGAUUUCAUCAGGCUCAGUAGAGAGUGGGAGGGGUUUGCAAGCAGAAGAAAUGAUGCGAGCAGAUGUAAAGAGACGUGAUGUGCGGGCAUGUGCCAUGGCCAUCUGGAAAGGCCCAGAAAGUCAGACGAUCCAGGGCACCACCUCUUCCUUUUUGUACCAACCCCUCUGCAUCUAUCAGAUUCCACAUCAUGGCGGGGACUGAAUCCCACAAUGCCUCUCACACCUGUGCCUUUGCCUCAUCUCUGCGGCUCAGCCCAAGGCCAGGUCACCAUCAGCUCUCAUCCUGAGGAACGCAACACCCUUCUGGCGGUUGCCCCACCUGCCCCCAUCCUUCCUCCCUCCUGCCAUCUUUGUAAGACAUCAAUCUGACCGUGUUUAUUCUCCAUUCAAAACCUUGAGCCGAACUGGAUAUUUGAAGAUAUUAAGGAAUUGUUCAUUAGUUGGGGGGAUGGUGGUAAUGUGGAUUUUUAACAAAUAAAACGUGCUCCUUU